rnacentral:lncRNA from 1 species
UUUUUCUUUCUUUGUUGGAUUUGUUUUUUUUUCUUGGAUUCAUAGUCUUGUUCUGCUUCCAAUAUUCUCUAUUUACUUUCUAAAGAAUUUAUUUUGCUGGUUUGAUCGGGAUCAAUACAAAUGGAGAGAGGAUUGGUAGAUCUAAGCAUCGAGGAUGGUGAAGAAGAAGCAUGGGUUUUUUUUUUUUUGGCGAAGGAGAACUCAGAAACUGGUGUAUGUAUUCGACUUGGUGGGGUAUUUUCUAACAGCUUGUGUGGUGCACUUCGACAAUGAGAAACACAAUGGAAAAUCUCUGGCAUCCCCUUGAUGGGGUUCAAAUAUUAGAUUUGGAAGAAAAAUUAUAUUUGUUUAAGUUCUUCC